rnacentral:misc_RNA from 1 species
UCUCCGUUGGUGAACCAGCGGAGGGAUCAUUACAGAGUUUACAACUCCCAAACCCACUGUGAACCUUACAGCGUCGUUGCCUCGGCGGACCGCCCCCGGCGCGUCCCCCCUCGGGGGCGCCCGGGACCACGGCGCCCGCCGGAGGACCCAAACUCUUGUAUUUGCAGGAUGCAUUGCUCUGAGUGAAAACAAGCAAAUGAAUCAAAACUUUCAACAACGGAUCUCUUGGUUCUG